UACAUAGGUCUCAAGCGUUGUUCGGAUUCAUUGGGCGUAAAGGGUGCGUAGGUGGCGGGGUAAGUCCGGUGUGAAAUCUCGGGGCUCAACCCCGAAACUGCACUUGAUACUGCCUUGCUCGAGUACUGGAGAGGAGAGUGGAAUUUACGGUGUAGCAGUGAAAUGCGUAGAUAUCGUAAGGAAGACCAGUGGCGAAGGCGAAUCUCUGGACCGACAUUGACGCUGAGGCGCGAAAGCCAGGGGAGCAAACGGG
rnacentral:rRNA from 1 species